rnacentral:rRNA from 1 species
AUUGAACGCUGGCGGCAGGCCUAACACAUGCAAGUCGCACGAGUGGCGGACGGGUGAGUAAUGUCUGGGAAACUGCCUGAUGGAGGGGGAUAACUACUGGACACUGUAGCUAAUACCGCAUCCCAUCAGAUGUUCCCAGAUGGGAUUAGCUAGUUGGUGGGGUAACGGCUCACCAAGGCGACGAUCCCUAGCUGGUCUGAGAGGAUGACCAGCCACACUGGAACUGAGACACGGUCCAGACUCCGACGGGAGGCAGCAGUGGGGAAUAUUGCACAAUGGGCGCAAGCCGGAUGCAGCCAUGCCGCGUGGAUGAAGAAGGCCUUCGGGUUGUAAAGUACUUUCAGCGGGGAGGCGUUACCCGCAGAAGAAGCACCGGCUAACUCCGUGCCAGCAGCCGCGGUAAUAC